GACGAACGCUGGCGGCGUGCUUAACACAUGCAAGUCGAACGGAAAGGCCCUGCUUUUGUGGGUUGCUCGAGUGGCGAACGGGUGAGUAACACGUGAGUAACCUGCCCUUGACUUUGGGAUAACUUCAGGGAACUGGGGCUAAUACCGGAUAGGAGCUCCUGCUGCAUGGUGGGGGUUGGAAAGUUUCGGCGGUUGGGGCUGGACUCGCGGCUUAUCAGCCUGUUGGUGGGGUAGUGGCUUACCAAGGCUUUGACGGGUAGCCGGCCUGAGCGGGUGACCGGCCACAUUGGGACUGAGAGACGGCCCAGACGCCUACGGUAGGCAGCAGUGGGGAAUAUUGCACAAUGGGCGGAAGCCUGAUGCAGCAACGCCGCGUGCGGGAUGACGGCCUUCGGGUUGUAAACCGCUUUCGCCUGUGACGAAGCGUGAGUGACGGUAAUGGGUAAAGAAGCACCGGCUAACUACGUG
rnacentral:rRNA from 1 species